CUUGCGACAGGCUUACACAUGCAAGUCGAGGGGCAGCGGGAGCAGCAAUGCUUGCCGGCGACCGGCGCACGGGUGCGUAACGCGUAUGCAACCUACCUUCAAGCGCGGGAUAAUCCGGCGAAAGCCGGUCUAAUACCGCAUAACACAGGGGUCCCGCAUGGGAAUAUUUGUUAAAGGAGCAAUCCGCUUGCAGACGGGCAUGCGUUCCAUUAGGCAGUUGGCAGGGUAACGGCCUACCAAACCGACGAUGGAUAGGGGUUCUGAGAGGAAGGUCCCCCACACUGGUACUGAGACACGGACCAGACUCCUACGGGAGGCAGCAGUGAGGAAUAUUGGUCAAUGGCCGGAAGGCUGAACCAGCCAAGUCGCGUGAAGGAUGAAGGAUCUAUGGUUCGUAAACUUCUUUUACGGGGGAGUAAAGAGCGGUACGCGUACCGUUUUGCAAGUACCCCAUGAAUAAGCAUCGGCUAACUCCGUGCCAGCAGCCGCGGUAAUACGGAGGAUGCGAGCGUUAUCCGGAUUUAUUGGGUUUAAAGGGUGCGUAGGUGGGGAUUUAAGUCAGCGGUGAAAGCUAGUCGCUUAACGAUAAGACUGCCGUUGAAACUGGAUCCCUUGAGUAUGUUUGAGGCAGGCGGAAUGUGUGGUGUAGCGGUGAAAUGCUUAGAUAUCACGCAGAACUCCGACAGCGAAGGCAGCCUGCCAAGCCAUAACUGACACUGAAGCACGAAAGCGUGGGUAUCAAACAGGAUUAGAUACCCUGGUAGUCCACGCGGUAAACGAUGAUAACUAAGAGUUGGCGAUAGACAGUCAGCUCUACAGCGAAAGCGUUAAGUUAUCCACCUGGGGAGUACGCCGGCAACGGUGAAACUCAAAGGAAUUGACGGGGGCCCGCACAAGCGGAGGAACAUGUGGUUUAAUUCGAUGAUACGCGAGGAACCUUACCCGGGUUUGAACGCAGGAUGAAUGGGUGUGAAAGCAUUCGGUCAGCAAUGACAUCCUGCGAGGUGCUGCAUGGUUGUCGUCAGCUCGUGCCGUGAGGUGUCGGCUUAAGUGCCAUAACGAGCGCAACCCUUACCGUCAGUUGCCAUCAGGUAAAGCUGGGGACUCUGACGGGACUGCCGGCGUAAGCUGCGAGGAAGGUGUGGAUGACGUCAAAUCAGCACGGCCCUUACAUCCGGGGCGACACACGUGUUACAAUGGUGGGGACAGCGGGCAGCUAUCCGGUGACGGUGCGCCAAUCCCACAAACCCCAUCUCAGUUCGGAUCGAAGUCUGCAACCCGACUUCGUGAAGCUGGAUUCGCUAGUAAUCGCGCAUCAGCCAUGGCGCGGUGAAUACGUUCCCGGGCCUUGUACACACCGCCCGUCAAGCCAUGGGAGUCGGGGGUACCUGAAGUCCGUAACCGCAAGGGUCGGCCUGGGGUAAAACCCGAGAAAGGGG
rnacentral:rRNA from 1 species